ensembl:lncRNA
ACACGAGUGAGGUCAUCUGCCUGAUAGACCCCAGGAACUUCCUUCAAUAGCAGCUGACCUUGUCUGAAAUAAUCCUUUCUUUUGUUUGUGACUUCCUUGUUCCACCCAUUUUCUGCCUUUGAAAACCCUUUUUAUUGGUAUGAAAAUCUUUUUAAAGCUAAAUAAGCCUCCUGCCAGUUUUAAAACUCAGGAAUGUUUCCUUGGGAUGUGGAAACCAUCUGUUUGAAAUGUAAUCAUUUAGGGAAGAGAGGGCCCUUACCCGCUAGCUCCCUGGGCAGGUUGGACCUUAACUUCAGCUGGUACCUGGCUUCAAGUAGCAAACCUCUUCAGGUCCUAGAGUCGUAAUAAAAUUAUUGUUCUUGCAAAGGCAUUGGCAACAGAGGUGGCCACGCCACUUACCAAGUAACUUUACAGUAAACAAAGGAAACCCAAGACCAAACCAGACGGAAGAUAAACCUUUCACUUGGUGUGGCUCCUUGGAACACACUUCUCCUUGCUUGAUGGGACGUUGGCUAAACCAUGAACUGUUGAAUAGAGCCAGUUCGAUCUUCAGAUUUGCUCAAUGGAUUUUGUUUUUUAACAAGAGAGAGACUAACAGACAACAGUUGGUAAAGUGUGAACAAUACUCCUUCAGGAGAAGAUAAGCCUGGCUGUACCUUAAAAAAAAAAAAAAAAACAAACGAGACAAAAGCCUUUCUUCUCUGACCUGUGAGCCUCGUGAACCGUGACACACACGGUGGGCGUGAGCUUUUCUUUUGGGGGCCAGAAUCAGAAGUCCCUGCAGAGCUGCCCGCCACUCAGCAGCUGACUGCCCGCAUCCUCGCAGGCCCGCCUCCCCCCGUCUCCAUCUCUGCUGUGGAGGCUGAUCUUCCCUCACUUGUGUCUCUUCUCCAGCUCCCAGGUUGGAGACCUCGCUGGCUGAGGCCCGUGACUUCCUCUUCUCUGAGAGUCACUUCUUUCAUCUGCUGACGGGAGUGGUGUGGGCACGUCGCAUCCUGGAGGCACCGAACUCUGAAGGCGAGAAGAGGCCGAUCGCCGUAUAAUCUAUUCAAUUUCAAUUUCAAAAGAUGCUGCUGCUGAUCAAAGGAUACCCAUGUUCAGCCCAGCUUUACGCGUGACAUGGAAUAGGCCAGCUAUGGUAGGA